rnacentral:rRNA from 1 species
GGAAAGGCGCGCGAUACAGGGUGACAGCCCCGUACACAAAAAUGCACAUGCUGUGAGCUCGAUGAGUAGGGCGGGACACGUGGUAUCCUGUCUGAAUAUGGGGGGACCAUCCUCCAAGGCUAAAUACUCCUGACUGACCGAUAGUGAACCAGUACCGUGAGGGAAAGGCGAAAAGAACCCCGGCGAGGGGAGUGAAAAAGAACCUGAAACCGUGUACGUACAAGCAGUGGGAGCACGCUUAGGCGUGUGACUGCGUACCUUUUGUAUAAUGGGUCAGCGACUUAUAUUCUGUAGCAAGGUUAACCGAAUAGGGGAGCCGAAGGGAAACCGAGUCUUAACUGGGCGUUAAGUUGCAGGGUAUAGACCCGAAACCCGGUGAUCUAGCCAUGGGCAGGUUGAAGGUUGGGUAACACUAACUGGAGGACCGAACCGACUAAUGUUGAAAAAUUAGCGGAUGACUUGUGGCUGGGGGUGAAAGGCCAAUCAAACCGGGAGAUAGCUGGUUCUCCCCGAAAGCUAUUUAGGUAGCGCCUCGUGAAUUCAUCUCCGGGGGUAGAGCACUGUUUCGGCAAGGGGGUCAUCCCGACUUACCAACCCGAUGCAAACUGCGAAUACCGGAGAAUGUUAUCACGGGAGACACACGGCGGGUGCUAACGUCCGUCGUGAAGAGGGAAACAACCCAGACCGCCAGCUAAGGUCCCAAAGUCAUGGUUAAGUGGGAAACGAUGUGGGAAGGCCCAGACAGCCAGGAUGUUGGCUUAGAAGCAGCCAUCAUUUAAAGAAAGCGUAAUAGCUCACUGGUCGAGUCGGCCUGCGCGGAAGAUGUAACGGGGCUAAACCAUGCACCGAAGCUGCGGCAGCGACACUAUGUGUUGUUGGGUAGGGGAGCGUUCUGUAAGCCUGUGAAGGUGUACUGUGAGGUAUGCUGGAGGUAUCAGAAGUGCGAAUGCUGACAUAAGUAACGAUAAAGCGGGUGAAAAGCCCGCUCGCCGGAAGACCAAGGGUUCCUGUCCAACGUUAAUCGGGGCAGGGUGAGUCGACCCCUAAGGCGAGGCCGAAAGGCGUAGUCGAUGGGAAACAGGUUAAUAUUCCUGUACUUGGUGUUACUGCGAAGGGGGGACGGAGAAGGCUAUGUUGGCCGGGCGACGGUUGUCCCGGUUUAAGCGUGUAGGCUGGUUUUCCAGGCAAAUCCGGAAAAUCAAGGCUGAGGCGUGAUGACGAGGCACUACGGUGCUGAAGCAACAAAUGCCCUGCUUCCAGGAAAAGCCUCUAAGCAUCAGGUAACAUCAAAUCGUACCCCAAACCGACACAGGUGGUCAGGUAGAGAAUACCAAGGCGCUUGAGAGAACUCGGGUGAAGGAACUAGGCAAAAUGGUGCCGUAACUUCGGGAGAAGGCACGCUGAUAUGUAGGUGAAGUCCCUCGCGGAUGGAGCUGAAAUCAGUCGAAGAUACCAGCUGGCUGCAACUGUUUAUUAAAAACACAGCACUGUGCAAACACGAAAGUGGACGUAUACGGUGUGACGCCUGCCCGGUGCCGGAAGGUUAAUUGAUGGGGUCAGCGCAAGCGAAGCUCUUGAUCGAAGCCCCGGUAAACGGCGGCCGUAACUAUAACGGUCCUAAGGUAGCGAAAUUCCUUGUCGGGUAAGUUCCGACCUGCACGAAUGGCGUAAUGAUGGCCAGGCUGUCUCCACCCGAGACUCAGUGAAAUUGAACUCGCUGUGAAGAUGCAGUGUACCCGCGGCAAGACGGAAAGACCCCGUGAACCUUUACUAUAGCUUGACACUGAACAUUGAGCCUUGAUGUGUAGGAUAGGUGGGAGGCUUUGAAGUGUGGACGCCAGUCUGCAUGGAGCCGACCUUGAAAUACCACCCUUUAAUGUUU